rnacentral:rRNA from 1 species
GAUGAACGCUGGCGGCGUGCUUAACACAUGCAAGUCGAACGGAGAUACAUUUGUAGCAAUAUAGAUGUAUCUUAGUGGCGGACGGGUGAGUAACGCGUGAGGAACCUGCCUCGGAGUGGGGAAUAACACAGUGAAAAUUGUGCUAAUACCGCAUGAUAUAUCGAAGCUGCAUGGCUUUGAUAUCAAAGAUUUAUCGCUCUGAGAUGGCCUCGCGUCUGAUUAGCUAGUUGGUGAGGUAACGGCCCACCAAGGCGACGAUCAGUAGCCGGACUGAGAGGUUGACCGGCCACAUUGGGACUGAGAUACGGCCCAGACUCCUACGGGAGGCAGCAGUGGGGAAUAUUGGGCAAUGGGCGAAAGCCUGACCCAGCAACGCCGCGUGAAGGAAGAAGGCCCUCGGGUUGUAAACUUCUUUUAAGAGGGACGAAACAAAUGACGGUACCUCUUGAAUAAGCCACGGCUAACUACGUG